ACCAAGUUUUUCUUCUUCGAACGUCUCUUCGCUUCUCCCACUCGCUUCUCCCUUUAUAAAUCCUAAUGUUAGGAGAAGAAAAAUUAGCUUUGUCCUGCAUUUACUUUGUUUUGCAAGUAACGAAUUACUCAUGCUUGUAGCAUUCGUAGUAAGAUCGAUUAGUGGGCAGAGAAAUACUCCUCCUAUGUUGAAGCUUCAGUUCUGGGCAAGGAAGCUCAUGAUAAGGAUGCCAAAAUCUAUGGUCAUAUAACAAUGACCGAGAAAAAAGUACUGUUGUUGUAAUGAUGCCUCAAAAAUUGAGAGGAAACAGUGAUCGUCUUCUUGCAAACAAAAAUCAUGUCAACAAGAUAUCAAAUGCAAGGUCAAGUUUUUCCCCUCAUUGGAGUUCUUGGCAAAGGAAAAGAUGCGGUCCAUCCAUUUCAUAUUUAAAAAAAAAAAAGGUAAGCCGUGAAGUUGUACUGCUCAUUUAUGUUUCUUUGUGUAAUUUUUUAAUAAAGUAAAGUAAUAGUUAUGUUUCUUGGGU